rnacentral:tRNA from 1 species
GCCCGAGUGGUGAAAUGGUAGACACACAGGACUUAAAAUCCUGAGGACGGUUUCGUCCGUGCCGGUUCGAGUCCGGCCUCGGGCACCA